rnacentral:lncRNA from 1 species
AGGUGUGUUUAAUUGGGGUUGGAGCUAAACUCUUCAGGACACCGGCCCUCCAGGACUGAGUUUGGACACCCCUGCUUUAGUCCAAGGUGAGGUAUUGUGUGUGUGUGUGUGUGGGUGUGUGUGUGUGUGUGGGUGUGUGUGUGUGUGUGUGUGUGUGUACGUACGUACGUACGUACUGGUAAUCACUAGCGUGUGACCUUGGCUUGUGGGGACAUUUUUUUAAGUUGGUGGUCUGGUGACGUGGCUCGGUGAGUGAAUUCCGCGCAUUUUUCCCUUGAGCUCCAGAUCUACAGCAGAUUCACAGAAUAAAAGCGGAGUAGGCCUAGAUCCGUUUGAACAUCAUCAUCCUACACCUCCACAUCCAUUGACCCUGUGUUUGUGUCGCUGUCUGCAUGAGGAAUGGCCGGCAGAGACGUGCUGAAGGCGGAUGAAGGUCUGAUGAUGAUGCAGAAGCUGGAGGACAUACUCGAGGAGCACACGGAUAAACUGGAGCAUGUGCGUCUGGCCUCCGUGGACCUGAGAGAUGCUCUGUCAGGGAAUAAUGACGAUAUGCAGCAGUGCAUCUCUGAACACAUGGAGUGGCUCGCACAGCUGACCGAUCGCGUGGACACACUGCAGAUGAACACUGCCGUCUUUGUACAGAUGAAUGCCAAACCGCGCAGCUUUCGGGUCAAACAGCAGGGGCUCAGAAGCGCUGGCCGCUGGGGCCGCUGUCAUGUGACCGAUGAUGCCCAAUCAGAGUACGGCUGGUCUCCCGUCUGUACCAGACGCAACAGUGAUGUGGCGUCUGAGAUGUCGUGUGCGUGGUAGAAACACUCACAUCAUGAGCAGCAUUACUGUUCCUCGUCCAAAACUGACCACUGUAACGGCAGCCUACUGUUUGAGUAUUUCAUAUAGUUUGAAAUAAGUGUAAUAAAAAGUGUUUGUUGUUCCAAACCUUUGUGACUUUUUCUUCUUUAGAACAUAAAGCAUUUUU